ACUGAAACAGCAGAACUAAAGGAAUUGUCAGGGUUCUAACCAACACCAGGAUUAUGCUGAGUAAGACAAUGUACAAAUAGAUAUUUUGAAGCUGCCCAAGGAACUUAACAUUCAGAUUUAUGAAAAAUAUGAGGACAAUGACAAACAAGCAGAGAUACUUGGUUCUCAGAAAUGAAGAAGAACUACAUCUCCCAGAAGACUUCACUGUUCUGUUUCCAUCUUCCAUUUAGAGGGAAGGAUAAAACUGCUCAUGAGUCACGAGACUUCCCCUUCUUUUACUACCGUCUCUGCAGUGCGUGCGCUCCCUAACGAUAUCACCUUCAGCAUUAGAGUAUGUAUUAAAUAGUAAACAUUGCCUUGAUGGUACUUUUCUUCAAAGAACUUGAUAGACUGGAGACACAACAAUAAAAAUAGGACAUUAGUUUUCGUAGCUUACUCUUUGCUGAAGUGCAAAUAAAUUGUCAGUUUUAGUAUCAAGAUUUACAGUGAAAUGGUAUCACCAACAUCCUUGGAGACAAUCAUUCAACAACAUGCACAAUGUUUGUUCAAAGAUUUUCUGAAAACUCCUUCUGCUACCAAAUAAAACUUGGCAUAUUACAUACAGUGGAAAAGAACCUUCCUCCUCCAAACUCCAGACACAACUCCGCCCCUUGAUUGCUGCAAAAGCUAUGCUUUUUAUACAGUAAUAAGAAAGAUUUGAGUAAAGCAGUAAAGGCUUCUACAUUUCUGAGAUGGGCCAGCACAGAAUGGUUUUCUGUAUACAGAUCUCACCAUUCUGUAGACAUGGAAGAGAUUAAUGCUACUUGGAUAAAGAGAUAAGCACUAGAAGGAAUUUAUUAUCUUCCAAGGAAAUUAUCAACCCAAUCACUAGUGGGGUUCCCCAGUGUUCCAUGUUAGGGCCUUUAAUUUAAUUAGGGCCUAAAUUAAGGCCUAAAAACUCUCUAAUGUUUUCAUAAAUUACUGGGAUCACAGAAUCAUGGAAUGGCUUGGGUUGGAAGAGACCUCAAGGAUCAUUAAAUUCCAAAUCAUUAAGUUCCAACCUUCUUGCCACAGGCAGGGUUACCAGUUGGUAGAUCAAGUACUAGAUCAGAUUGCACAAGGCCCCGUUCAACCUGGCCUUGAAAACCUCCAGGGACAGGGCAUCCACAGCCUCUCUGGGCAGCCUGUUUCAACACCUCACCACUCUCUCAGUAAAAAUCUUCCCCAUUACAUCUAAUCUAAAUCUCCCUUCCUUUAGUUUAAAAUCAUUCCUCCUUGUCCUAUAACUAUCUAUCCAUGUAAAAAGUAGAUUUCCCUCAUGUUUAUAAACUCUCUUUAAAUAUUGGAAGGCCACAAUGAGGUCUCCUGCAGCUUUCCUUUUUCCAGACUGAACAAACACAGUUCCUGCAGCCUGUCUUCACAGAAGAGGUACUCCAUGGCCCUCCUCUGGACCCUCUCCAAAAGCUCCACAUUCUUCCUGUGCUGGGGUCCCCAGACUUGGAUGCAGUACUCCAGCUGGGGCCUCACAAGGGCAGAAGAGAGGGGCACAAUCACUUUCCUUGCCCUGAUGGCCACCCCUCUUCUAAUGGAACCCAGGAUACCAUUGGCUUUCAGGGAUGAAUGAAUGUUUGAUGUAGGCCUAGAAGGUAUUCUGAGCAAAUUUGCUGACUCUGUCAAGGGUGGAGAGGCCUUGCAAAAAGUUCUAGACAAAUUAGAGAGCUGAGCAAUCACCAACUGCACGAAGUUGAACAAGUGCCAGAGUCUUCACCUGGGACAGCCCCAAACUACCAGAGUUUGAGAAGCAUCUGGACAAUGCUCUCAGUCACAUGGUCUGAUUUUUUUGGGUGGUCUUGUGUGGAGUUGGACUCAGUGAUCCUUCUGGGACCCUUCCAAUAAAGAAUAUUCUACGAUCCUAUGAUGACUUAUUAACAGUGAUCAACAUCUAAUCAUACAACAGGCGGAGACUUUUGGGAGAGCCAAGAUUUAAGAAAGGGAUCAACAGAAGCAGAGAAAACAGUCACCCUAAAAAAUCAGAGUAAAGAGUGUUUUCUGAUGCAAAUCAAAAUGUCACUUUCCUAUGAAACAGCAGCCCAUAAUCUGGGGGAAGGUUUAAACGUGCUGACUGUUAAGGGGGAAUAUUGGGCAGUGGAUGGUUGUAUUCACUACAGAAGACAUU
ensembl:lncRNA